rnacentral:rRNA from 1 species
UACAGAGGUCUCAAGCGUUUGUUCGGAUUCAUUGGGCGUAAAGGGUGCGUAGGUGGCAUGGUAAGUCGGAUGUGAAAUCCCGGGGCUCAACCCCGGAACUGCAUUCGAUACUGCUGAGCUAGAGUACUGGAGAGGAGAUUGGAAUUUACGGUGUAGCAGUGAAAUGCGUAGAUAUCGUAAGGAAGACCAGUGGCGAAGGCGGAUCUCUGGACAGUUACUGACACUGAGGCACGAAGGCCAGGGGAGCAAACGGG